rnacentral:rRNA from 1 species
GACGAACGCUGGCGGCGUGCUUAACACAUGCCAGUCGAACGCUGAAGCUUGGUGCUUGCACUGGGUGGAUGAGUGGCGAACGGGUGAGUAAUACGUGAGUAACCUGCCCUUGACUCUGGGAUAAGCCUGGGAAACUGGGUCUAAUACUGGAUACGACAUGUCACCGCAUGGUGGUGUGUGGAAAGGGUUUUACUGGUUUUGGAUGGGCUCACGGCCUAUCAGCUUGUUGGUGGGGUAAUGGCUCACCAAGGCGACGACGGGUAGCCGGCCUGAGAGGGUGACCGGCCACACUGGGACUGAGACACGGCCCAGACUCCUACGGGAGGCAGCAGUGGGGAAUAUUGCACAAUGGGCGGAAGCCUGAUGCAGCGACGCCGCGUGAGGGAUGAUGGCCUUCGGGUUGUAAACCUCUUUCAGCACGGAAGAAGCGAAAGUGACGGUACGUGCAGAAGAAGCGCCGGCUAACUACGUG